CGCGCCGCCGCCGCCGCCGCAGCGACUCUCGUCCUCGGCCCAGCACCGGAACUCGUUCAACGCCAACUCUGGCGCCACAGACUACGAGCGACGGUUCUCCGACCGGUUCCACAGCCUGUCGCAGCUGCCGCCGCCCGAGCCGCUCACAAACUGCUACAAAAUCUACCCCAGCAAGAACCAGCGUCCCCGCAACAAGCGUCCCCCCGCUCCGCCCCCGCCGCCGACGCAAGUCCAACUCGGCCACAAACUGUACGAGAGCGGCGGCUCGUCCUACGCCUGAGGCCCUGACGGCGACCGUGGAGCUGCCUGGCGGACGAGCGCGGAACUUCGCCGCGGAGGCGGUGUCAGAGGCCGCCGCCUGCGGGCGGUGGCGAGUGUGAGUCACGUGCUAUGCAAUCGAAACGGGCGUCUUAGUAAUAAUGCGGCGCUGUUGUUGUUGGUGUCGAUUUACGACUGCUGGCAUCGCUAGUAGGUGGACGCAUGGGUUACACGUUCAGUCCCGGGCGCACCUUGUUAACUUCACUGCUGGCGAGGCCGUAGCACCGAGCACGGUUCACCGGGGUGCGGAGCUGGUCGAGGGGGUCAACAUCUGGCGGUCGGCCGCCGGCGGGCGAGACGCCGGCUGUCGUCGCUGCGCGGCCGGUCGGGCGGCCGGGCCGAUCCCGUCUGUGAUCACGUGCAGCACAAAGCGGCGUGGCGCGGCGUGCGUGCGCCCGUGCCGCCACGCCCGGGGCGGAGUGUGGGCCUGCGUCGCCCGCCGCCCCGGCUCAGCCAGCAGCGAGGGAUGACGCCCGGGCCCCUGCUCGGGGCAGCCAGCCGGUCGGCUAGCUCGGGAGCGGCGCCGCGACGAGCCAGCGGCGUCUGUUUUUGUGACUCGUCGGCUGGUGC